CCAGCAACAGUUUGUCGUUCAGUUGUCUUUGGUUGCUUGACGCGAAAGCUUGCUUCAGAUAGAUAUCUCUGGGAUUCGCAACUGCGGUGUGCUUCGUUUUUCGGAAUCCUCCCGUAACUGACAAGAACACUAUUCUUAGUCGAGCUGCGAAGAACUAUUUGACUUGCCUGCAGUGAUGCGAAUAUAGGAAACAUAAAUCGAGUGUUUGUUUUGUUCGUCAGGCAAAAAGGUGUGAAUAAAAAGGAACCAUUCCUCUUUUUUCGAAAUGUUAUGAAUGAAAAUAGGGCUUUCGUGCGCUGAGAGUUUCUAUCGACGUAUUGCUCGGUGAAAUUUAAAAACUGUGAUUUCUGUUUGAAAAUCAGAUUUGAUUUGGCCAGUGAUGAGUACGUAAAAACUUCCACCUCGAUAGGUUGACGAUAUGAGCCAAUAAGUGAUGGAAUAUGCAAUGAGUGAAUCACGCGUGUAACCGGUAAUAGAGUUCGAUAAGUACUUUAAUUGUACCGGUACUACCAGUCAAGUUGUGGACAAUGAGGUUUUGUCACUAAGAAUAAAACCAGUUGAUAGGCCACUUCAGCCAGCACUGCAUGAAUCUCGUCAAAUCACAGGUUGAGUUUUCAUCGUCUGUAAAUUUCCGGUAUUCUGUUUGUCAACUUUCAACAAGUCUUUCCGUGUGAACAGAUUGUUUGCGUUGUUUCCCGCCCAGGAGAAUUUCCAGAACAAAACCAAGCAGCGCUGUCCACAGCAGCAUCUCUUCUCGAAAUCAGAGGCGGUGACUAGGACCAAUUGACGGUCGAACAUUGCUGCGAAAAAGUUGAAAUCGUUAGACGCCCUCCAGACGUAAAUGCGAGUUGACGAUGGGGCUUGUUAGACGUCUUUGAAGAAAAUCCGGUGACAACUGCGCGCGUAGGAUGAGAUGACUUUUUAUGUCAUUCAACAUGUGCGAUUAAAGAAAGGUAUCUUACCACGACAGUAGAAAAAAUAAAGUGUGUCAGAAGUGUUGCAUAAAGUCCGUAAGAAGAAACCAAUCAAAAUGAAGAUCAAUGCAAAGUAUGUGUGUGCCUUGUUGGCACUGUUCAGUGUGAAGCACAUUAGCUGUGAUAGUUUACCGUGUGAUUUCAUCGAUUCGAUCAACAUCACCGAUGGGAUGCGCGAUGUACUAGGCAAUAUCGUCCACAACAAUAUUCUCUACAAGCCCAAGUACUACCGGACAAUCGACUAUGAUUAUGAGGAUUUUUCCACGAAAAAGUUCGUAAACGAAUACAUUCGAGGAUGUCCUUGCGCGGUGCGAUUAUGUGUAAGAAUGUGUUGUCCGCAAGGUACGGUUAUGUACGAUUAUCAGUGUCUACCAACUGUGAAUAAGUUAGAAGUACUAGUGAAUACCACUUUGUUCAAUGUGCAACGAAAUUUUGAAGUGGUGGAUUUGACGGAGAACAGCAUGUACGGGUUUCUAUACGGGAAGCCGUGCGAGUCUGUAUAUGAGCUGAAUCGUGCCGAUGAUAUUUGGUCAUUUGCUAGGAAUGGCAGUAUCAUUCACGACUCGAGACUGCUUACCAGGAACCAGUUUUGCCUUAUGCAAAACAAUAUCUCGCAGCCGGUCACACCGUUUGUCUGCUUCGAGCCGCAAGAGGAGUUCAAAUAUGCACUCUAUCCAAUCGGAAUGCUUCUGUCGGUGCCGUUCCUGCUGGUCACAUUCUUCGUCUACGCCUGCAUCCCGGAGUUGCGGAAUAUGCACGGAAAAUCACUGAUGUGCUAUGUGCUGGGAUUGGCCGCCGGAUACACGGUGCUUUCGUUGGUACAGAUGGGUCUGUUCGAGGGAAGCAGUCUGCACUGCAAGGUGUCCGGCUAUUUGGUGUAUUUUUGGUUCAUGGUCAGCUUCUUUUGGCUCAACGUCAUGUCGUUCGAUAUCUAUUGGACGUUUAGAGGUGUCCGUGGAGCCAAAAGCACCGAACGCAAGAAGUUCGCCCUGUAUUCCCUGUACGCUUGGGGCUGUCCACUGCUGCUGAUUACGAUAUCGCUGAUCUUCGACCACACCGAGCUCAUCCCGCCAAACUUCAGGCCCCAAAUCGGUGUCACAAGGUGCUUCAUCAUCGAAAACAAGUAUGUGGAAUUCUUCUACAUGUAUCUCCCACUGUUGCUGUUGGUGUUUGCGAACAUGUUCUUCUUCGUGAUAACCGCUGUGCGAAUCAUUAAAAUUCAGCGGGAAACGUCAAUGGUGCGACGGGGAGAUUCCAAACGCCAUUCCAAACUGGACAACGAUCGCGAUAGGUUCGGCCUGUACCUGCGGCUUUUCAUCGUGAUGGGCGUGACCUGGUCGCUGGAGGUGAUCUCGUGGGCCGUGAACAACGUCGCUUGGAUCUUCUACAUCUCGGACGUCUGCAACUGCAUACAGGGCUUUCUGAUCUUCAUGCUGUUCGUGUGGAAGCAGAAAAUCAAGCGACUGAUCUACAAAAACACUUCAAUAAGUCCGUUGAACGAAUCCUAGGACUUAAAUUACACCAUAUAUGCAUAUGAACGCAAAAGACUGAGACUUCGUUAUACAUAACUUGAUUUGCGCUCUUUUGAUGUAUUCACUGCGAUAUGAUCUAUAGCGGCAAACCCAGGCGUUAUUUAGGAACAAUCUGUUGCUGAACCAUUACACCAACAGUUCAACAUUUUCUUUACAAAAAAAUAUCCGAUAAGGUUCGGAAUUCCAUUAGGCGAGGCGGAGACGUCGCUGUCAAGCGCGAGCACCCGUACAACGACCACGACGGUAACGUCGUCCUUCAACGGUUCCAGAAUGGACAAACCUCUGGUGACGCGAGUAAGUUUGGAUCAUCAGGUGACGGCACCUCCGACACCAAUGGUAGUGGACCCACUGGAAAAGAAGCUGAAGCUAAAUCAGUUCGGCUAGAUUUGGGCCCACCGCAGGAAGAGACUCUGCUGCAAAGACUAAUUAGUGUCGAUCGUACCACCGAAGAAACCAUGCUUGGACAUUGACGAUGAAUGAUGACGAUGGAUGAUUGGAACAUUUGUUGACGAUGAUGGAAGAAAACCAAAGAUAAGACGAUGUUUUAAGGUUCAUAAGUACAAAGCACUAUGCGCUGCUAGAUUUUAAAGUUUAAAAUAAAUGUGAAGACAUGUGUUCUGUUAAGUAUGAUCAUUUUAUAGAUAAAAUGUCAAGAGUACCAAGUGUACUGAGGAUGGUUAUUAUAGGUAGGUUGUAUAUAUUUUCCAAUUGUAAGAACCUUAAAACUAUAGUAUUGUUAUAAAACAUUUUUGACGGUAUUAAAGCUGUUGGCUUUCUAGAUGGUGCCUCAUUUAGCGCACAUGUUAUUUCAAAAUUACGCUAUUUUAAGCUAGUUAUUCCUAAAAGUAUUCACUAUACUGUUUAUAAUACAGUUACACUUAAUAUUCAGACUUCAUUAAAUGUGCUUUUCAUAACUCGAA